UACUCCUACGGGAGGCAGCAGUAGGGAAUAUUGGACAAUGGGCGAGAGCCUGACCCAGCCAUGCCGCGUGCAGGAAGAAGGCUUUCUGAGUCGUAAACUGCUUUUGACAGGGAAGAAUAAGCUGGACGUGUCCAGUGAUGACGGUACCUGCAGAAUAAGCACCGGCUAACUCCGUGCCAGCAGCCGCGGUAAU
rnacentral:rRNA from 1 species